rnacentral:rRNA from 1 species
UUUGACGGAGAGUUUGAUCCUGGCUCAGGACGAACGCUGGCGGCGUGCUUAACACAUGCAAGUCGAACGCUGAAGCUUGGUGCUUGCACUGGGUGGAUGAGUGGCGAACGGGUGAGUAAUACGUGAGUAACCUGCCCUUGACUCUGGGAUAAGCCUGGGAAACUGGGUCUAAUACUGGAUACGACAUGUCACCGCAUGGUGGUGUGUGGAAAGGGUUCUACUGGUUUUGGAUGGGCUCACGGCCUAUCAGCUUGUUGGUGGGGUAAUGGCUCACCAAGGCGACGACGGGUAGCCGGCCUGAGAGGGUGACCGGCCACA